UGUACGUUGGUGUAAAUGGUUAGCAUACUUGUCACGAAAACAAAGAGAUGUGGGUUCGAGUCCCAUGCUUACGG
rnacentral:tRNA from 1 species